rnacentral:sRNA from 1 species
GCCAGUGUGUCUCUGAAACGGAUCCAGCAAUUCCUGAGCCAAGAUGAACUUGACCCCCAGAGUGUGGAAAGAAAGACCAUCUCCCCAGCCUAGACAUCCAGGUCCCAAAAGGGGCAUUGGUGGCCGUGGUGGGGCCUGUGGGCUGUGGGAAGUCCUCCCUGGUGUCUGCCCUGCUGGGAGAGAUGGAGAAGCUAGAAGGCAAAGUGCACAUGAAGGGCUCCGUGGCCUACGUGCCCCAGCAGGCAUGGAUCCAGAACUGCACUCUUCAGGAAAACGUGCUUUUCGGCCAAGCCCUGAACCCCAAGCGCUACCAGCAGACUCUGGAGGCCUGUGCCUUGCUAGCUGACCUGGAGAUGCUGCCUGGUGGGGACCAGACAGAGAUUGGAGAGAAGGGCAUUAACCUGUCUGGGGGCCAGCGGCAGCGGGUCAGCCUGGCUCGAGCUGUUUACAGUGAUGCCGAUAUUUUCUUGCUGGAUGACCCACUGUCCGCGGUGGACUCUCAUGUGGCCAAGCACAUCUUUGACCACGUCAUCGGGCCAGAA